rnacentral:rRNA from 1 species
AGCGGAAGAAGGGAGCUUGCUCCCGGACGUUAGCGGCGGACGGGUGAGUAACACGUAGGUAACCUGCCCCUUAGACUGGGAUAACUCCGGGAAACCGGAGCUAAUACGGGAUAAUAAAGAGAAUCACCUGAUUCUCUUUUGAAAGACGGCGUCUAGCUGUCACUAAGGGAUGGGCCUGCGGCGCAUUACCUAGUUGGUAAGGUAACGGCUUACCAAGGCGACAAUGCGUAGCCAACCUGAGAGGGUGAUCGGCCACACUGGGACUGAAACACGGCCCAAACUCCUACGGGAGGCAGCAGUAGGGAAUCUUCCGCAAUGGACGAAAGUCUGACGGAGCAACGCCGCGUGAGUGAGGAAGGCCUUCGGGUCGUAAAGUUCUGUUGUGAGGGAAAAACAAGUACCGGGGUAACUACCGGUACCUUGACGGUACCUCACCAAAAAGCCCCGGCUAACUACGUGCCACCACCCGCGGUAAUACGUAGGUGGCAAGCGUUGUCCGGAAUUAUUGGGCGUACAGCGCGCGCAGGCGGCUUCUUAAGUCUGAUGUGAAAUCUCGGGGUUCAACCCCGAGCGGCCUUUGGAAACUGGGAAGCUUGAGUGCAGAAAAGGAAAGUGGAAUUCCCCGUGUAGCGGUGAAAUGCGUAAAUAUGUGGAGGAACACCAUUGGCGAAGGCAAUUCUCUGGUCUGUAAUUGACGUUGAGGCCCGAAAGCGUGGGGAGCAAACAGGAUUAAAUACCCUGGAAGUCCCCGCCGUAAACGAUGAGUGCUAGGUGUUAGGGGUUUCGAUGCCCGUAGUGCCGAAUUAAACACUUUAAGCACUCCGCCUGGGGGAGUACGGCCGCAAGGCUGAAACUUCAAAGGAAAUGGACGGGGACCCCGCACAAGCCGGUGGAAGCAUGGGGGUUUAAUUUCCAAGCAACCGCGAAAAACCCUUACCAGGGUCUUGACAUCCUUUGACCCACUUCUGGG